rnacentral:lncRNA from 1 species
UAGACGUCUGUCGCUGGCCCUCUGCCUCUGCCUUGCGCGGUGGGGCGGGGUAUGAGGGCGGAGCCAUGCCUAAAUGCUCCCAGAACAGUGACCCUUCCCUGAGGUCUCUACAGGAACUGUUGUAACUUCAACCAGGCAAGAGUUACUUGUUUCUUCCUUGAAAACAAACAAACAAACAAACAGAAACAACAACAACAACAACAACAACAACAACAACAACAACAAAAACUGGGCAGGCUGACAAAGGCUUGUAAUCCCAGUACCUGGGAUGCCCAGGCAGGAGGAAGAGUUCAAGGUCAUCUUGGCUUUCAUACCGAGUUCUAGAAAUUGGCUUAUGAGUCGCUUAAAUGCAUUAAAGAUACACUGAGGCACACAUGAGAGAUUCAGAAAAUAAACAGUUCUGCAAACUGGGUCAAUACUCAAAAUUAUCAGAUCUUGGCACACUCCCAAGAUGCACUAACUCAUAAGCUGAGUGAUGACGGAGGGUACUAAUGCUUUAAAAGACAGUCUGUUACUGAAGUGAAGGAACUUGCAGAUGCCAUUAUCAGUAAGACUUUAGCACAUGCACAUGAAAACAACUCAAGAAUAGUUUGUUCCGAA